UCUACGGUAUAGUAAAAAUAUAUAUAUGAUUUAGUAUAUAGUUUAUAUUCAUUACGAUUUAUAUUUAUUUUUCCAGUGAAAGAGUGCGAUGACCAGUCCACUGUCAGUAUGGACAGCUCUGACUCGGAUUGUACUAGUGGAAAAGUUGAUGAUUCAGAAACUGACAAGACAGAAGACAUAUCAGUUCAAGGUAUUCAGGACAAGGUUCUUCAAGAGAAGUUCAUUGGUAUGUAUGAU